rnacentral:lncRNA from 1 species
UUUUUUUUUACAAUUAUUUGCUUUGUGAGAACCUAAGGCCUCACUAAACAAAUUGCAGUAUUGCUUUUCUAAGGUAAAAUAUUUAGAGCAUCUGUUAUUAGCUAUAGGCUACAGAAUGUUACAGUCGAAGAGCCAUUCUGUUUUGAGAUCAAAUGGCCAAUGAAAAAUAUGUAGUGCUGCUAAAAAAUAACAAGUUCAUGGCAUUUGCAUGGAAAUGGAUGGCAUUAGAGCAGAUUAUGCUAAGUGAAGCUAGCCAAUCCCUAAAAAACAAAGGCCAAAUGUCUUCUUUGAUAUAAGGGGGGUAACUCAAAAUGGGGUAGGGAGGAAGAGCAUGAGAAGAAGACUACCACUAAAUAGGGAAGAGAGGUAGGAGGGAAAGGGAGGGAGAAGGGGAAUUGCAUGGAAGAUGG